rnacentral:rRNA from 1 species
UACGUAGGCAGCAAGCGUUGUUCGGAAUUACUGGGCGUAAAGAGUGUGUAGGCGGUGCUCUAAGUUCGGUGUGAAAUCUCCCGCUUAACUGGGAGGGUGCGCCGGAAACUGGAGUGCUUGAGCGCGGGAGAGGAAAGCGGAAUUCCUGGUGUAGCGGUGAAAUGCGUAGAUAUCAGGAGGAACACCUGUGGUGUAGACGGCUUUCUGGACCGUAGCUGACGCUGAGACGCGAAAGCGUGGGUAGCAAACAGG